GGGAGGGAAAAGGCGGAAUCAAUGCAUAAUGGUGAAUUCUUUAUCAUUGUAAGGAUGUGCUAGAUGAUUGGGUAGGUUACCUUUUGGCUAGAACUACAACUAGAAGAGGACAGGCUCGUGGAGCUUUGUAUGUGUUACCUCAUUCUUGUGGUAAACCCUAUUGUAUGCAAUUCAUGCUUCAUGAUAGGAGUUGUUCUGUUUAUUUAGAUAGAGAGCCUUUCUAGUCUGAUGUCAAUCCAUAGAUUGAUAAUCUUUGGAUAGAAUACUUUAUGGGAAAAGUUACAACUGACCUAUGCACUUAUGGAUCAAAAAUUGGUGUUCUUAAGUGGCAUCAACACCCAUUUCAAUCCCUAUAGUAUAUU
rnacentral:lncRNA from 1 species